AUUGAACGCUGGCGGCAUGCUUUACACAUGCAAGUCGAACGGUAGCGCGGGCUUCGGCCUGGCGGCGAGUGGCGAACGGGUGAGUAAUGCAUCGGAACGUGCCCAGUAGUGGGGGAUAGCCCGGCGAAAGCCGGAUUAAUACCGCAUACGACCUGAGGGUGAAAGCGGGGGACCGAAAGGCCUCGCACUAUUGGAGCGGCCGAUGUCGGAUUAGCUAGUUGGUGGGGUAAAGGCUUACCAAGGCGACGAUCCGUAGCUGGUCUGAGAGGACGGCCAGCCAACCUGGGACUGAGACACGGCCCAGACUCCUACGGGAGGCAGCAGUGGGGAAUUUUGGACAAUGGGGGCAACCCUGAUCCAGCCAUGCCGCGUGCGGGAAGAAGGCCUUCGGGUUGUAAACCGCUUUUGUUCGGGAAGAAAUCCUCUGGGCCAAUACCCCGGGGGGAUGACGGUACCGGAAGAAUAAGCACCGGCUAACUACGUGCCAGCCGCCGCCGUAA
rnacentral:rRNA from 1 species